rnacentral:rRNA from 1 species
GACGAACGCUGGCGGCGUGCUUAACACAUGCAAGUCGAACGGGAUGAUCUUAAAGCUUGCUUUUAGAGAAUCUAGUGGCAAACGGGUGAGUAACACGUAGACAACCUGCCGACAGGAUGGGGACAACAUUCCGAAAGGAAUGCUAAUACCGAAUGAAGUCAGAGAAGGGCAUCCUUUUCUGAUGAAAGAUGGCCUCUGAAUAUGCUAUCACCUGUCGAUGGGUCUGCGUCUGAUUAGCUGGUUGGUGAGGUAACGGCUCACCAAGGCGACGAUCAGUAGCCGGUCUGAGAGGAUGAACGGCCACAUUGGGACUGAGACACGGCCCAGACUCCUACGGGAGGCAGCAGUGGGGAAUCUUCCGCAAUGGGCGCAAGCCUGACGGAGCAACGCCGCGUGAGUGAAGAAGGUCUUCGGAUCGUAAAGCUCUGUUGACGGGGACGAACGUGCGAAGGGUGAAUAAUCCUUUGUAAUGACG